rnacentral:rRNA from 1 species
AUGGUGGUGCGGGGCCAGCAAGAUCUGGACGCCAACAUCGUCCGCUGGGGCCUCCACCACCUCCUCGACGCCGGCGGCGGCUGCGUGCACCGCCCUCAAUCCCCCACCACCGACUACGCCCCGCCGCCGCCGCAGCCGCAGCGCGCCCGCGCCCUUCUCGACGGCUACGACAUGGCCCCCGCCCCCGCCCCCGCCUCCGAUGUCAGGGUCGACGCGGUCGAGAACGACGAGGUCAUCGCGCACGCGCUGCAGGAGGAGCUCGCGCAGGUCGCCAUGGCCGAGGCGUCCGGGGCCGACGGCGGCGAGGCCGAGCGCCGCGCCACCGUCCUCGCGCAGCAGUGGUUCCGCCCCGAGGUCGUCAGCCAUCUGCCCUCAGCUCCACCUUAUGUAGAAGAAGCAGAGAGCUCCAGUCCACGUUCGAGCCCCGAAGAAGAUCGCAAUGCGCGUGAUGGCCACGGCUGCUCCAUAGAGCUUGUCGACGAUUUCUCUGCUCUCGACGGCGAAGUCGGCAAAAGACUGAAUGACAUGGUUCCUGUCCCUCAUGUCCCUAAAACAAAUGGAGACAUUCCUUCUUUUGAUGAAGCCUUUUCAGAUCACCGAAGACUUCUUGACAGGUUGGUGCUGUAUGGCCUGGUUGAGCUCAAGGUUAACGGAGAUGGCAAUUGUCAGUUUCGGGCAUUGUCCGAUCAAUUCUACCGAACUCCCGAACACCAUAGAUUUGUGCGGCAACAGGUGGUCAAUCAGCUUGAGUCUCAUCCCGAGAUAUAUGCUGGAUAUGUCCCUAUGGAUUACAGAGAAUAUCUUAAGAAGAUGCCAAAGAUCGGAGAGUGGGGUGACCAUGUUACACUGCAGGCUGCUGCAGACUUGUAUGGUGUAAAGAUUUUCAUUCUGACAUCAUUCAGAGAUACAUGCUACAUCGAGAUUCUCCCAGUCGUCCAAAAAUCAAAUAGAGUUAUAUGUUUGAGUUUUUGGGCCGAGGUGCACUACAACUCGAUAUAUCCGGAAGGAGAGUUGCCCGUCGUGGAGAACAGAAAGAAGAGCUUGUCGGAUCGACGGUCGUUUUGUUCGACCAUGUGA